rnacentral:rRNA from 1 species
AUUGAACGCUGGCGGCAGGCCUAACACAUGCAAGUCGAACGGUAACAGGAAGAAGCUUGCUUCUUUGCUGACGAGUGGCGGACGGGUGAGUAAUGUCUGGGAAACUGCCUGAUGGAGGGGGAUAACUACUGGAAACGGUAGCUAAUACCGCAUAACGUCGCAAGACCAAAGAGGGGGACCUUCGGGCCUCUUGCCAUCGGAUGUGCCCAGAUGGGAUUAGCUAGUAGGUGGGGUAACGGCUCACCUAGGCGACGAUCCCUAGCUGGUCUGAGAGGAUGACCAGCCACACUGGAACUGGGACACGGUCCAGACUCCUACGGGAGGCAGCAGUGGGGAAUAUUGCACAAUGGGCGCAAGCCUGAUGCAGCCAUGACGCGUGUAUGAAGAAGGCCUUCGGGUUGUAAAGUACUUUCAGCGGGGAGGAAGGGAGUAAAGUUAAUACCUUUGCUCAUUGACGUUACCCGCAGAAGAAGCACCGGCUAACUCCGUG